ACUCCUACGGGAGGCAGCAGUGGGGAAUAUUGCACAAUGGGCGAAAGCCUGAUGCAGCAACGCCGCGUGCGGGAUGACGGCCUUCGGGUUGUAAACCGCUUUCAGCAGGGACGAAGCGAAAGUGACGGUACCUGCAGAAGAAGCACCGGCCAACUACGUGCCAGCAGCCGCGGUGAUACGUAGGGUGCGAGCGUUGUCCGGAAUUAUUGGGCGUAAAGGGCUUGUAGGCGGUUCGUCACGUCGGAAGUGAAAACUCAGGGCUCAACCCUGAGCCUGCUU
rnacentral:rRNA from 1 species